CAGAAGUAAAGACACAUGGGAGCUCCCUGCUGUCCCUUCAGCCUUCCCCAGCAUUCCACUUCCAGAGGCAUAAUCACCCAAAGGAGAAGUGCAAAAUCCACAGAUCCUUGGAUCCUCCUCUUUCUCAUUUUCUUGGCCACCUUGGGGGAGUCCUGCCUGUCAUCCAAGCUUGAACCCUCUGCUCCAGAGCAUGCUCAGCACUCUGGUCCCGUGUGAAGACCCAGGGGCUGACAGAGGUUCUUUAGCUGCAGCACCCCAGUGA
rnacentral:lncRNA from 1 species